rnacentral:rRNA from 1 species
AUUGAACGCUGGCGGCAUGCUUUACACAUGCAAGUCGAACGAGUGGCGAACGGGUGAGUAACGCAUCGGAACGUACCCGGUGAUGGGGGAUAACUAUUCGAAAGGAUAGCUAAUACCGCAUAUUAUCCGAGCGGCCCAGGUGUGAUUAGCUGGUGGGCGGGGUAAAGGCCCACCAAGGCGACGAUCAGUAGCGGGUUUGAGAGGACGAUCAGCCACACUGGGACUGAGACACGGCCCAGACUCCUACGGGAGGCAGCAGUGGGGAAUUUUGGACAAUGGGCGAAAGCCUGAUCCAGCCAUGCCGCGUGUCUGAAGAAGGCCUUCGGGUUGUAAAGCACUUUUGUCAGGGAAGCGGUACCUGAAGAAUAAGCACCGGCUAACUACGUGCCAGCAGCCGCGGUAAUUC